CUUCAGUGAGCCGAUCCACACCGGGCGGUCCACCGGCCGGUCCUGCCCGUACGUCGCCAGCAGCGCCUGCGCCUC
rnacentral:antisense_RNA from 1 species